GCCUCGCCGCGAGACCCUCCCCCGCGCCUGCCACCAAAGUCACAGAAAACUUUCACACCUCUCAUCUGACACUGUGGUCUGUCCGAGACGCCAAGCACUGGGGAAGUCUUCAACGUCAGAAUAUGGGUGGCGCCUGUUCUUCAGGGGGCGGGCAGGGGGAGCCCAGUGUUUAUCAAAACGGGUUGAUUUUCCACGGAACUACGGAGGGGGUAGUUCUGGAGAGAGAAAAGUUAACUAUCAAAAUAUCCAUAGCUUUAACACAAUAGAUGAAGGGUAAAAGCCGCUUGCUUCACUACAGAAACAAGAAAUCUUCAUCAAUUUCAGCAAAUAAUCCUUGCGUACCUACCAUGUGUCAGGCAAAAUAGACAAAGAUCCCC